rnacentral:rRNA from 1 species
GACGGGGGAUGAAACCGUUAUCCGGAAUCACUGGGCGUAAAGCGUCUGUAGGUGGUGAUGCAAGUCACUGGUGCAAAACUCUGGCUCAACCGGAGGAAAGCCAGUGAAACUGCAUGACUAGAGUGUGGGAGAGGUAGAAGGAAUUCACUGAGUAGCGGUGAAAUGCGUAGAUACAGGGAAGAACACCGGAGGCGAAAGCGUUCUUCUGGAACACAACUGACUCUGAGAGACGAAAGCUAUGUGACCUAAUGGG